GCUUGUCUCAAAGAUUAAGCCAUGCAUGUCUAAGUAUAAGCACCCUUAUACUGCGAAACUGCGUACAGCUCAUUAUAUCAGCAAUUAUUUAUUUGAAGGUCACCUAUUACAUGGAUAACCGUGGUAAUUCUAGAGCUAAUACAUGCGAAAAGUCGGCGCAAGUCGAUGUAUUUAUUAGAUAAAAAACCAAUCCGGCAACGGUGCUUGGUGAUUCAUAAUAACUGUUCGAAGCGCACGGCCUCGCGCCGGCGCUAGUUCAUUCAAAUUUCUGCCCUAUCAGCUUUCGACGGUAGUGUAGUGGACUACCGUGGCGCUAACGGGUGACGGAGAAUUAGGGUUCGGUUCCGGAGAGGGAGCCUGAGAAACGGCUACCACAUCCAAGGAAGGCAGCAGG
rnacentral:rRNA from 1 species